CCCCACUGCUAUCGGGGUGGGACUAAGACAUGCGAGUCGUACGCCUCCCGGCUGCCGGGGGAGGCAUGGCGCACGGCUCCGUAACACGUGGCUAACCUACCCUCGGGACGGGGAUAACCCCGGGAAACUGGGGCUAAUCCCCGAUAGGCGAGGAUGCCUGGAAUGGUUCCUCGCCGAAAGGGCGCCGGCACCGUGCUGUCGGCGUCGCCCGAGGAUGGGGCCGCGGCCGAUCAGGUUGUUGGUGGGGUAACGGCCCACCAAGCCGAUAACCGGUACGGGCCGUGAGAGCGGGAGCCCGGAGAUGGGCACUGAGAUAAGGGCCCAGGCCCUACGGGGCGCAGCAGUCGCGAAACCUCCGCAAUGCGCGAAAGCGCGACGGGGCCACCCCGAGUGCCGCCCGCUGAGGGUGGCUUUUCCCCGGUGUAAGUAGCCGGGGGAAUAAGGGGAGGGCAAGUCUGGUGUCAGCCGCCGCGGUAAUACCAGCUCCCCGAGUGGUGGGGACGAUUAUUGGGCCUAAAGCGUCCGUAGCCGGCCCGGCAAGUCUCCCGUUAAAUCCAGCGAUCUAAUCGCUGGACUGCGGGAGAUACUGUCGGGCUAGGGGGCGGGAGAGGCCGGCGGUAUUCCCGGGGUAGGGGUGAAAUCCUAUAAUCCCGGGAGGACCACCAGUGGCGAAGGCUGCCGGCUGGAACGCGCCCGACGGUGAGGGACGAAAGCCGGGGGAGCGAACCGGAUUAGAUACCCGGGUAGUCCCGGCCGUAAACGGUGCGGGCUAGGUGUUGGCACGGCUACGAGCCGUGCCAGUGCCGCAGGGAAGCCGUUAAGCCCGCCGCCUGGGGAGUACGGCCGCAAGGCUGAAACUUAAAGGAAUUGGCGGGGGAGCACCACAAGGGGUGAAGCCUGCGGUUU
rnacentral:rRNA from 1 species